rnacentral:misc_RNA from 1 species
AACCUUAUGGACCUGCGGGCGUAUACCUGCGGAAGGAUCAUUACCGAGUUUACAACUCCCAAACCCCUGUGAACAUACCACUUGUUGCCUCGGCGGAUCAGCCCGCUCCCGGUAAAACGGGACGGCCCGCCAGAGGACCCCUAAACUCUGUUUCUAUAUGUAACUUCUGAGUAAAACCAUAAAUAAAUCAAAACUUUCAACAAUGGAUCU